CCCUCCUAAAAAAUAAAAUAUAAAUUGAAGAAUAUAAAAUAAGAGAAUCUUCUGAAACUACCAUGCACACAGAUCUAUCUCAGAAAAAGCAACAAUGGUGUGAUAAAUGCUCAUUCACAUCUGCCUAUUCCAUUAUUAGGACACCAAAAC